GCUUUGAGAUGUGACCUCAUAGGAACUAAAUGAAAAGUGUGUGGAUUGUGAAAUAAACUGUCUCGGGCCUGAAGGCCAAAUAUUCCCCUGUACACAUUCAUCUUACCCAUCCUUGCAUCAGCCUCCACGGGUUGCUGCAUGUUUUUCAGAAACAGUAGCCUGACACGUUCACUGCUUUGUCGGAAGUUUGAAGUUGAAGUAUUUUUUCCUACAUUAUUCCUCCAGGAAAACUUUUGUUCAGGAAAGAAAAGUCCCCAUUCAUAUUUAGUCCACUUAAUUAACGCAGACAUUCUGUUCUCCAGUGGACCUCUGACGUGAUAGAUUGUAGGAGGACGUAAUGCAAUCUGCUCAUGGUGAAUGAGGUGACAUCAGCUUUCUAUGUGGUUUCCUCCCUGUCAUAAGUCCCCAUGUCAUUCCCUUUAAUACUCUCUGUUUUGCUUUACUGGAUUCUUAAUUCUUUGUAAAUACAUCACCAUGUGUUCCCUGUAGUUUCUAGUUACAAAUGUCUAUAAAUAUAAACCAGAAUGUAAUCAGACUAAGGCUGCACAUUCAUAUUUCAUCUAUGAAUUGGCACUCUCAUUGUUUAUAGUCACUAAUGACACAUGCGCCUCUCACUUUCUGCUCCAUAAUGCACUUGAAAUUUCCAGUAGGUUUGUAUCAUUAACACCCUGAUAUUUAUCAAGAAGCCACUGCCCCUGUGGAUGGGAGAUAGCUUUACAGUGGGAGGCAGCUUUUUAAAACAUUAACACAAGACACACAUAAAUAUUCAUCAAAAACUGAAUAUACAUGUGAUUAAAAUCCUACACCACUUUUGUGUAUAUAGCCUUGUUUUAUCCAUUCAGUUUUUCCUUCUUCUAUUCAUAUUGUUUGUUUCAUGUUGUUAGUACUCAUUGUACUUUGUCUUUUAGUUACUCCUUUCUUUUAGACCAGUGUGUCAUGUAUGCUUUUUGUUUCUAAAAAUAAUUGUGAAUUAACCCUACCUUUUUCACUUCUCUUAUUCCCUAGACCAGCAGAUCCCAAACAUUUUUGGCUGCGCAUCCCUUCUGUAUUCCAACCAGGUUGACGCACCACCAAUUCCCUCUACCUUAGGAAAAUAAGCAAAUUAAAUUCCAAUACAAAGGAACUCUGACAGACUCUCAGCCACUUGGACCCCAAAAACCAGCUAAUCUGCUAUUCAAAGAAAAAAGGCAAGCAUGUCAGCACGGGCACCAGGAGCCACCUGGGUUAAGUGUUUUUCCUAGAGUCACAUUAGAAUGUGGACUGGCAGGGCGAGGGAUCAAACCCCCUAACCUUUGUGGCUGCAGUACUCACCCACCACUGAUGUAAAAUACUUGAUACCCGAAAAGCUGUUUUCACCAGAAAAUGUAACGUCCUUUGUGCACUAACCUGAAGUUGAAGAGAUCUAAGCUAAGGUUAAUAAACCCUGUAAUUGUGGAGAUUUUCCUGCAUGUUGUCCUCAGAGCUCUUCCCUGCAGAGUAUCUGGUAAUGCAGCCAAAGGCCAGUAAAUGUGAUGUGUUGUGGUCCAAUUCCUCCUCCAUUUUGUUCACUCAGAACCUCCUCCCCUCCAGCACCCUCUAAAGAUUUCCCAAUGAACCAAAGUGACAAGGUGGAACUUAAAACCAUGUUUAUUUAAUACAGCAAGUAAACAGAUUUCUUUACUUCAUAUUUAUGUAAGAAUAAACUGUUUGCAUGAACUCCAUUAACAUUUAAGUGUGCAUAUAAACUUGACAAAGAGAAGAUUAUGUGACAGGAAGAAUGUGUUGUGUAUUUUGUAGAGGUGAAGAACAGGGUGCAGACAGAGUGGAGUGGAUGGAGAUGCAUUUAAGAACCAAUGUAAUUUACCCAUUGUAAUAUUUGUAUGUGUAAUCAUCAAAGUCUGUCAGAAAUGAAAAUGUAAAAUAUACUUUUUUCAACAACAUCAUUACCAACAUUGAGUUCUUGCCUUUGCUACAGCACCAGUCAUGUCAGAUGUGUGUAAAAGUGAAGUAUUAGGCACUAAGUUUAAGAGCAGGCAGGUGUGCGUUUGUAGCAAAUCCCCAAACUUGUUACUGUAUCUUCUAUAGAUUUUCAGACAAUUUCCGGACCAAGUCUAGUCAGUUGAAUAACAAAAGUAGAGCAUCACUAAACCAUGAAGCACGCUAACCAUGCCCUCCAGGCUCUUCUCCUCCUGUCAUUUUCCUAACUCCAUAUCUGAAAUGCAAUCCACAUGCCUAUUCCAUUUGCUGUGAUUCAAAUUAAAUACCCAGCAAAAGUACACCAUCUUUGCAUUAGACUUCCAAGAACCACAUUUUUCCUCAGGCUUUGUUUGUAUAAGAUCUAAAUUUCAGGACUAGUGUUUGGGUGCCAUUAAAUGCAACCUCCAUCUAUGCCAGGUUAAUUGACUCUUAGAAUCCAUUUAGAGUCCCUUCCAUUUCUCUGUAAUUCCACCUAUAUCCAUAUCACAUCAUUAUUCAAGCAAACAAAACAGCCUUUCCAAACAAUGCACAGCAGAUAAACCCAAUAAGAGCACCGUCUAGACUACAGUGUGUGUUGAGCUGCAAUCACUUUCCAGGGGAUGUUCUCCAUCUGCUCAGCCAGAUAAUACAUCCAAUUUCGUUUGUGUUGCAAUCAUCAUGCAC